rnacentral:rRNA from 1 species
AAUAUGGCUCAUCCUAGCAUACAUGGGCUCUCGAUUUCCUGAGAUGAAAUAAAUACAUAAGGUGCGUAAAAGGACAUUGACAUUAAUCAAAUGUGCAUGAAAGUGUAAAGAGCUUAUAAGUAAAUCAUGGUGUAUUUAGACACUUAUCAAGAAUUUUCCUGAGGAAAGGUUCGCGACUGAUUAGCUAGUUGGUGAGGCAAUAGCUUACUAAGGCGAUGAUCAGUAGCUAGUCCAAGAGGAUGAUGAACCACACUCAGACUGAGAUAUGACCUAGACUCCUACGAGAGGUAGCAAUGGGGAAUUUUUCUCAAUGGCCUAAUGGAGCAAUAUUGUGUAGAGGUAGAAAGCCCAUGGGUCGUGAACUUCUUUUCCCGGAGAAGACGAAAAUGGUGGUAUCUGAGAAAUAAGCAUCCGCCACCUCUAUGGCAGUAGUCCCGGUAAGGCAGCGGAUGCAAAUAUUAUCUGGAAUGAUUGGGCAUAAAGCAUCUGUAGGUGGCUUUUCAAGCUAGAGCUCAACCCUGGAUAGGCGGUGGAAACUAUAAAGCUGGAGUACAGUUAGGGUAGAGGGAAUUUUCUAUGAAGCAAUAAAAUGCGUAGAGAUAGAAAAGAACACCAACCACAAAAGCCCUAUCCUGGGCAGAUACUGACACUAAUAGCUGAAAGCUAGGGAGCAAAUGGGAUUAGAUACCCCAGUUGUUCUAGCCAUAAAUGAUGGAUACUAGGCGCUAUGCCUAUCGAUGGUGUAGUGCUGUAACUAAUGUAUUAUUAAUCCCGCUUGGGGAGUACUUUCACAAGAAUGAAACUUAAAGGAAUUGGCGGGGGCCUGCACAAGUCGUAGAGCAUGUAGUUUAAUUUGAUGUAAAGAAAAGAACCUUACUAGGGAUUGACAUGCUGCUAAUCCUCUUGAAAGAGAAAAGUGCCCUUGAGAACGUGGACAUAGGAGGUGCAUAGCUAUCGUCAACUCGUGCCAUAAGAUGUUGGGUUAAGUCCCACAAAGAGCGCAACCCUCAUGUUUAGUUGCCACCAUUUAGUUUGGAUCAUGAACAAACUACAAGUGAUAAGGCGGAGCAAGGUGAGAAUGAUGGCAAGUCAUCAUGCCCCUUAUGCCUUGGGUAACACACAUGCUACAAUGGGCGGGGAAAAGGGCCACGAUAUCGCGAUGAUGAGCUAACUCCCAAAAUCCAUCCUUAGUUCGGAUUGGAGGCUACAAAUCGCCUGUAUGAAGUUAGAAUCACUAGUAAUCGCCUAUUAUCCAUAUGGUGAUGAAUUCAUUCCCGAGCCUUGUACAUACCGCCCAUCACACUAUGGGAGCUGGCCAUACCCGAAGUUGUUACCUUAACAGUCAUACCAAGUCUCCUUUUUAGGGAGAGCUAAUGUUUGAUGGGUAUUUUGUUUGACACUGCUUUACACCCA